AAGUCGUAACAAGGUUUCCGUAGGUGAACCUGCGGAAGGAUCAUUAACAAAUCUUUGAAGUGCGGCAAUGGGUUCGCGCCCGGCGCCAAACUUUACAUGAACCCGAGGGCCUUAAAAAAGCCCAAGGUAGUCGGCCUGCUGUGUCCUCCCCAAAAGGGGGGACACAAACAGGUUGGCUUGGCGGUGAGCGCGAAAGCCCUCACCAAACCACAUAAACCGUUUUAUACAUACGUUUGACUGAGUUUUUUUAAACAAAAAUCUUAUACAACUUUUAACAAUGGAUCUCUUGGCUCUU
rnacentral:misc_RNA from 1 species